GACGAACGCUGGCGGCGUGCUUAACACAUGCAAGUCGAACGGUAAGGCUCCAGCUUGCUGGGGUACACGAGUGGCGAACGGGUGAGUAACACGUGGGUGACCUGCCCUGCACUUCGGGAUAAGCCUGGGAAACUGGGUCUAAUACCGGAUAGGACCGCACCGUGAGGGUGUGGUGGAAAGUUUUUUCGGUGUGGGAUGGGCCCGCGGCCUAUCAGCUUGUUGGUGGGGUAAUGGCCUACCAAGGCGGCGACGGGUAGCCGGCCUGAGAGGGUGGACGGCCACAUUGGGACUGAGACACGGCCCAGACUCCUACGGGAGGCAGCAGUGGGGAAUAUUGCAGAAUGGGCGGAAGCCUGAUGCAGCGACGCCGCGUGGGGGAUGACGGCCUUCGGGUUGUAAACUCCUUUCACCAUCGACGAAGGGUUUCUGACGGUAGAUGGAGAAGAAGCACCGGCUAACUACGUG
rnacentral:rRNA from 1 species